UAUUUCAUUUUUAUGUAUGAAAUGAUACUGCCACAUGCAUUUUGCUGUUUAUGUUUUAAAAGAAAAUAUGUUUUUAGUUCUAGUAUUGUGUAUUAUGUGUAGGUUGAAAUGAAUAUACUUUUAAAUUUGAAAUAUUCAUGUCAUAUAAGUGAAGCAAUUGUUUGUCGCCUAAUGUUAAAUGCCAUCAGAGUUCUUUCUUAAGCUAGAAUUCUCAAGUAAAAGAUAAUUUAGAUAUCACCUACCUAGCUGGAAGAAGUUUCUCCUUGAAGUUCAUGUAAUUCAAUUAUCACAGGUUGCAGUUUGAAUGCAUGGAAUAAUGCGAACCUUUUUCUGUCAAUUCAUAACAACUUAGCAAGUUAUUUUUAGGUAAGACAAAAACUGAUACAUGCAGUUGAUGCAAGUAGAGGUUUGAAUUCUGUAGAUGAAUGAUGAUGAAAUGAGAAAAUGUUAUGUCAGUAAUAUAAACUAGGCCAUAGCGUCUUUAGUAACUUGUUGCUGUCAGUGGAGAAAUAUUGCACAAGUUACAUAGUUACCAUGAUUCCAUUCUUAAAGAAGAUUGAUUUGCAUAAUCAAAUUGGAAGUCUGGAGCAUAUGCAUUAUUUGUGUUGUUUUGUUAGCAGUUGAAGAUAUUGUUUUAUUUUACAUUCUCCAUGAAGAUAAAAACUGACAAACUCAGAUUGCAAUCUGUAUUGUUUAGAAUUCUUGCUAUUAUGAAGUCUUGGAAAAAAUGUAUAUAUGCUUUAUUUUUAUGCUGUUCAGCAAUAUUAACUAGAAAAAUCUUAAAUUUUGAUCUGAUUAGCAGUUUUUUUAAUACAGAUGAAAUUUAUGUGUGCUCUAUAUGAAAUAUUAUAAUGUAAUACUUAAUAAGCAUCUAGGUAUCAUUCAUUAAAAGUAUGUGCAUGGCAUGAAGAAAGAUUUGGCAAAUUUCAUCAUGACAUUUUUAUGAAGUUUGACAGUUUUAUUUUUAUAUAAUUAUCCUUAUUACUUCUGCUUGCCAUUUAUAUAUGCACUCUAUAUAAUAUUAAAAACGAUGCACCAAGGAGUUAAUCCAAAUGGGACGAAAAUUGUUAGAUGUGACCUAUGUGUAUUGAAAACAAAACACUAACAGUAUCCCAGGAAUUGAAUGGGUUAUUCAGGAAGUACAGCUACAAAAGCAAAAUCGAAAAAUCAAUAAUGUGUUAGCCCACCUCUGGCCUUCGUGCAAGCUGUUACCCAACUAGACAUUGACUUACAAAGUUGAUGGAUGUCCUUCUGUGAGAUGGUUUAUCAUAGAUGUUCCAAUUGCUGAGACUGUUGUGAUCCAGAUGGUCAGAGAUGUCUGUUAGGAAGGAUGUUUGUCAGACAUGUUCCAAUUGCUGAG